rnacentral:tRNA from 1 species
GUUCCUAUGGUGUAGUGGUAAGCACACCUGCUUUACACGCAGGGGACCGAGGUUCAAUUCCUCGUGGGAAUA